rnacentral:misc_RNA from 1 species
GUCGUUGCGUCGUCCUUCCCCUACGCCUCCCACCCAGGUGUCGGCCUUCCUCCCACUCCUUUUCUCUGGUCGUCGAGGCUCUCUAGGGAGCAGCGUGUCGGUGACCCUGCUAGGGCACCCCGCCACCGAACUAGAUCUGCGGCCAAGGAACUUGCUGUCGUCCUAGAUCUCUGUCAUAAAGCUCAUCACAGCCUCCUCUCCCUCGACGGCGUGGACGAACCAUGGCUGUGCCACCGGCUUCUCCCCUGCCUCGGCAGCCUCUCGUUAACGUCAUCUAUCUCCUCCCUAACUGCACCGACACCUAGCAGCGCCUUCUUCCUCUUCUUUACACUUCCCCCGUCGUCGGCGUCAAAUCAUUCAUGCCAGGUCCGGCGCAGGCCCCU